ACAAACGCUGGCGGGGUGCAUGAGACAUGCAAGUCGAACGGGGUUGAGCGGGCUUGCUCGAUCAACCUAGUGGCGGACGGCUGAGUAACGCGUAGGUGACCUACCCGGAAGUGGGGAAUAACUGCCCGAAAGGGUGGCUAAUACCGCAUGUGGUCGGCGAUUCAUUUCGCCGCCUAAAGCCGUAAGGCGCUUCCGGCGGGGCCUGCGUCCGAUUAGCUAGUUGGUGGGGUAAUGGCUCACCAAGGCGACGAUCGGUAGCUGGUCUGAGAGGAUGAUCAGCCAGACUGGGACUGAGAACGGCCCAGACUCCUACGGGAGGCAGCAGUCGGGAAUUUUGCCCAAUGGACGAAAGUCUGAGGCAGCAACUCCGCGUGAGGGACGAAGGCCUUCGGGUCGUAAACCUCUUUUCUCAGGGAAGAUACAAGACGGUACCUGAGGAAUAAGCCACGGCUAACUACGU
rnacentral:rRNA from 1 species